rnacentral:lncRNA from 1 species
GGUAGACAAGGUUAAUGCAGUUAACCAAGCCCUGGACUCGGCUGUUCCACUCCGUGACCCUGUUAAAAUCCAUGAAGCAAUGCGUUACUCCCUUUUAGCCGGUGGCAAAAGGGUCCGCCCAGUUCUUUGUUUGGCUGCUUGUGACCUUGUUGGUGGCAAAGAAUCCAUGGUUAUGCCAGCAGCUUGUGCUCUUGAAAUGAUCCACACCAUGUCUUUAGUCCACGAUGAUCUUCCUUGCAUGGACAACGAUGAUCUUCGUAGAGGGAAACCAACUAACCACAAAGUUUAUGGUGAAGAUAUAGCUGUGUUAGCAGGGGAUGCUCUUUUAGCCUUUUCGUUUGAACAUAUAGCUGUAUCCACAGUUGGUGUCACACCUGAUAGGAUUGUAAGAGCAAUUGGGGAAUUAGCUAAAUCUAUUGGGGCUGAAGGGUUGGCGGCUGGUCAAGUUGUGGAUAUAACCAGUGAGGGUCUAACCAAUGUGGGGUUGGAUCAUUUAGAAUUCAUUCAUGUUCAUAAAACUGCUCCAUUGCUUGAAGCAGCUGCGGUUUUAGGGGCUAUUCUUGGAGGUGGACAUGAUGAAGAUGUGGAAAAGUUGAGGAAAUUUGCAAGGAAUAUUGGGCUUUUAUUUCAAGUUGUGGAUGAUAUUCUUGAUGUAACAAAGUCAUCUAAAGAAUUAGGGAAGACUGCAGGGAAAGAUUUGGUGGCUGAUAAAGUGACUUAUCCUAAAUUGAUGGGGAUAAACAAAUCAAAGGAGUUUGCAGAGAAGUUGAAGAGUGAUGCAUUAGAGUUGCUUCAAGGGUUUGAUCCUGAGAAAUCUACCCCCUUAAUUGCUUUAGCUAAUUAUAUAGCUUACAGGCAAAAUUAGCUUCCUCUUGUGUUUGAUAAAAAGGGCUUCGAGAAAGAAGCACGAUAGUAGUAAUAAUAUUGUGAAUAGUCUACUACAAUGUUUAUGUUCUAAAGCUCCCAUCAAUGGUACGUGGAUGUAAUUGUUAAAUUCAGUUCUUCCUCAAUUUGUUGGUCUUAUGUACGAGUUCUUACUCUGAAUCUGGAACUUUUUAUCAAUAAGUACAAUGAUAAAUCUGGUGAUUUCUUCUUUAACAGUCAAUGCAACAAUGUUUCUUUGUGAUGUUGAAACCGUUAACAAGUACGUCUUGUUAUUCUGUAUCACUUGGGAUGCAAGUGUUGAAUAUAUAGUGUUAUUCCGGCUGGUUUUAUGUUGUAUCUUUCGACAUCUUGCCUGCCAUAACACUGUCACUGCAAUUUCUUUGCCUUUUUUUUUUUUUGUAAAGAAACCAUCUGUGUUAACAAAUGCUUUUUGAUAGGCUAUGGAUAUCUGUUCUAUAUGAAUAUAUAAGCUAUGUAAAUUGUGUUUGGAUGUGAUGUGUCAGGUAUAAGUAUAUAUAUUUGUUUUUCUUGUAUUUGGACCAUUUUAGUGUGUCAUGUUUUCAUUAUAAUACCUCCACUGAAUGUGUCCUAUACAGAUUUCGAAUAUAAAUACUUGAAAAAGUUUUUGAAAAGCUUGGUUUAUUCAGAGAAGGACAUGAGCCUGUUAGUUAAAGAACAAAGUGGAAAGUUUCAGAUAAGCAUGAGCUAGUGGAAUUUUCUUUUGGUUGGUGCAUUUGGUUUUUAAAAAGUGAUGAAUUGCUGCACUAAACUGCAGAUUAUUGUAUUGUGUUCAAUUGUUAAGAUUUUCUGAAAUAAUUAUAUCCAAAACGAUCCGGCGUCAACUACGAUACAUGACUGAUGGACUGUCAGUCUCAACUCCUUAAACCUUCCUAGAACAAGGGUAUUUCUUGUCUGACUAGGUAACCUUUUGAAGCUUUUGCCCUCGCCCUUAUCUUUGCAUCCAUGGAUUUCGUGAAAUAUUUUAACUCUGAGCUCAGGGUUACAAGAGAAUCGAAGCUUGGGUCACCAUGAAUACGUACCACUAUACUACGGCUUAAUGCUUCAUAAGAGUGCUUUGAAUUGCUGUUGAACAAUACUGACUCUGCAGUUAAUGAUUUAUGACAUAUAGGGGACCUCCUUUGAGAAUCAUCCAUGACUCAAAACAUAUCUUAAAGCCUGAAAGUUGGAUUAGUGUUGGCCUUAACAUAAGGAUUACUUUGUCCCGAUAUAUAUAUAUUUGUUAGAAAACAUGAACUUAGAUUAGAUAAUAGUUCAAAACACAGCCACAACAACAAUAGCUUCACGGGCUCAUUACAAACAAACAAAAGCAUCCAUAAGUAGGCAUUAGGUCGAAAAUUGCUCCCUUGAUUCACCAUAGCAUCAACACUCUUAUUUCCUUCUCUGAAGGUGUGUUUGAUUUUAGCAUUCGGGAUAGUAGUUAAGAGCAUCAUACAAUCAUCAAUGAAGCAAAAUGUUAAUAUUAAAGUAUUAGAGAUGAGACUAAUAACAACAAUCGAAUCAACUUCAACUUUAGGACAUAUAAUGUUCAAAUCCAUCACUAAUUUUAAUCCAUCUCUCAAUGCCCAAAGCUGGACUUCAAUGCUGAUAGCUUUAUGGAUAUGCCCAAAGCUUGACCCAAUUACCUAAAUUAUGCUAAUAUCUCUUUCGAGAGUAAGAGCAACUAAUUCUAGGUUGAUUAAUUGAAAUCUCUUUCUAAUUAAAACCCUUAUUGUCACAUUAACUCGAUUUAUGGAUUCCCUUACUAGAUUUGACUCUAAUCCGGUAGAUUUAUGUCAUCUUAUUUCUAGGAUUGCAUGCAACUUUACUCAAUUAUACUAGAUCUACUCUUAAACAGAGGCUUUUCCUCCACUGAAUUAAGCACAUUAAACAUGAAUUAAUAUUCCAGAAAUAUUAAAACAAGAAAUAAGCACACAUAAUUGAGAAUAAGAAUUAAGUAUUUAUCACGUAAAACAGAUGUUAAUUAAUAGAAUUUAUCAUAGAUUUCAUCUUACUUGGUAUCUAGGGAAUUAGUACAUAAUCCUGAAUAAAAAACAUCUCAAAGUCAGAAAAACUACAAGAAAUAAAGAAACUCAUAAAAACUUUAAAAGAAAUUAAAAAGAGGUCUUCGAUCUUAAUAGGAAUCUGCUUCAGAGUUGGCUCCAAUGGUGUUCUUCGAGUUUUUUCUUCAAUAUUCUCUGAUGAUCCAUACAUCUCUUCUUCUAUUUGGUAUUUAUAGACUUUAGAAUACUCAGAAAACUUAAAAUUUGCGUUUUUCCGUGUGUUUGGGAAGCAGGUUGCGAAAUCGACACGGGCUAGCACAUGGGUGUGUGUCCAGCCCGUGUGGCUCCUGAACCUACUCUUUUUCUCCGAUUUUCGCUCCUUUUCCUCCCAAAUGCUCACCUAAGUAUAAGAACAUAAAUUAAAAGGAUUAGGAGCAUUAAAUUCACCAAUUUGCAUAAAUAAUCAUAAAAAAAUGCAUUAAGAAUGAGAUUAAAAUAUGUUAGUUUUAUCAUUUAUCAGCAUGUAAUUGUCUUAUUUUUGUGUGUUGCAUCUUAUUAUUCUGGUUCGGCAAUUAGACCCGGUAAGGGGUGUUUCAUGAUGAAAUUCUUGCUCCUAGAAAAAGAGAUUCAUAAAAAGGUGGCACUAGAUACGUCGAGAAGAAAGGAAAAACUAUGAUGAAAAGUCCAACUUUAAAAAUUUUUAAUUUAGGCACUAACAUUUGUAUUUGUUGGUUACCCAUCGUUAAAUGAAUAACGUAAAUUAUGAUGUGGCAUUUUCCUAACUAGUAUAAUAACGCAUUUAGUUCUCAAUAAUUACAUAUUCUACCAAUUUGAUCUCAAUUCUAAAUAAUUCAAUAAAUUUAACCCUUCACAUUUACAAAUUCUGUCAAAUUAAUCCUCAAACUUCUUUAAAAAGAGUUAGAAGAAAGAGAAGGAUAAAUCAACUUAGUUUUUUCAGGUUUCAACGAACACCCAACAAUUAGAUGUCAAGAGUAUGAUUUUUUUUUUACACUAAAAUCUAAAUAAGAUUUCAACAUUAGUAAGCAAUUACAUUCUUGGAAAUAAGUUAGAUUCAAAAGGUGCAACAAGUUUUGAAUUAAAAUCCUUUAAUCGUGGCUAGCUUUUUAAAAACUAAAAGACUUUGAUAAAUAUUGCAACAUAUAACAUUUAUUAAAUGUAAAAAUUUUAAUAAAUAUUGAAGAUUAGAGUUCUCCUAUCAGUUCAAUGACUUAUUAGCUUCAUUUUUGCUUUCUUUAAUUAAGUGGUAGACGUCAUUUAGAUGAUGAGAAAAUUAAUGGUCGUUCAGAAGGAUUGAAAUUGAAGCAUCUUUUAUCUGCAGAUUUUCAUAAAGGAAAACAUGCAUAUCAUCAUCAUAUAUAUUAAAAUGUAGUGUUUAUUUUAAUAUUCUACUCUUGGGUGUUGUUUAAAACUUUAAAAAAUUAAGUUAUUUUUCCUUUUCUUUUUUCAAUUUUUUAAAAGAAUUAGAGGACAAUUUAUUUGAUAAGGCUUAAAUUUAUUAAAUUAUUUAAAAUUAGGGUCAAAUUAAUAGAAUAUAUAAAUUUUAAGCACUAAAUAUGUUAUUAUACUAAAUAAAAAAAGGCCACAUCAUUAUUUCCAUUAUCAAUUUCCACAUCAUAUAUAUAUAUAUUUUUAAAAUUAUAAAGUAUAAAAGACGUAUGUAUAUGCAUAUAUACGUUCUUAUAACGUAUACAUAUAUUUUAUAAUUCCUAAAUAUACAUUUUUUUAUGUUUUAUCGUUUUAAAAUAUGUACAUACAUACAUACAUACAUACAUUUUUAUAUAAUAUUGACAUAUAUUUUAGGAUAUACAUAUAUACACUUUUUUUUUUUUUAUAAAAAUUGUCCACAUAAAUAUACAUAUGUCUUUUCACAUCUUUUAAUUUUAUUCAUCUUCUUUAUUGUUAUUAUUAUUUAUUUACUUAUUUACGUGUUUAUUAUCAUUUCAAAAGGAUAUUUUAAUUCUAUUCGUUUAUUUACUUGUUGUUAUGUGAUUGAUUCGUCUCUUAUAUUUAUUUAUUUCAUUUUUGUUGAUUAUUUAUAUUGUUUAUGCUUAACUUGUCGUAUUCAUUAUCGUUUUGUUAUGCAUAUUAACACCAUACAUCAAAAAAGGAAUUUUUCUAAAUAAGGCAAUAUUUUGCGUUUGGAAAAUCGAGAAAACGUGCCCUAACGUGCUGGGUUUCGAUUUCUCGUUUGACCAAAAUAGCCAAAUACCCUUUUUAAACUUUCAAAAUAAGACCAUAUUUCGCGUUUGGAAAUUCGAGAAAACGUGCCCUAACGUGUUGGGUUUCGAGUACUCGUUUGGCAAAAUAGUCAAAUAUCCUUUUGAAAUUUUAAAACGAGGCAAUGUUUUGCGUUUGGAAAUUCGAGAGAAUGUGCCCUAACGUGCUAGGUUUCGAUUUCUCGUUCGACUAAAUAGCCAAAUAUCCUCUUAAAUUUUAAUCCAUGUCGUUCGAGUUUUUUAAGGAUCAUACUCUAAAUCUCUUUAAAGUUUUCAAUCUUCGACACUAAGACAUUAACUAAUCAACUAGGUACCAAUUUUUGGGCGUUACGAGGGUACUAAUCCUUCCUCGUUCGUAACCGACUCCCGAACCCAUUUUUUUGAAUUUCGUAGACCAAAAUUGUUGUUUUAAUAAAAAAUUAAAUCGUUUAUUAAAAACAACCACUUUUCGAGGUGACCCGAUCACACCUCAAAAAAAACAAAGAUUGGUGGCGACUCCCAUUUUCGUUUUAUUUUCAAAAUCCAAGUCGACCCCGUUUUCUCAAAAAAAUUGUGUCAACAGCCAUCAUCCACAAGAAAUUUCAGACUCUUAGCUUCAUUUUUGCUUUCUUUAAUUAAGUGGUAGAUGUCAUUUAAAUGAUGAGAAAAUGUGAAAUAGAAAAUUAAUGGUCGUUCAAAAGGAUUGAAAUUGAAGCAUCUUUUAUCUGCAGAUUUUCAUAAAGGAAAACAUGCAUAUUCUGCAACUAUCAUCAUCAUAUAUAUUAAAAUGUAGUAUUUAUUUUAAUAUUCUACUCUUGGGUGUUGUUUAAAACUUGAAAAAAUUAAGUUAUUUUUCCUUUUCUCUUUUCAAUUUUUUAAAAGAACUAGAGGAUAAAUUAUUUGAUAAAACUUGUAAAUUUGAAGGCUUAAAUUUAUUAAAUUAUUUAAAAUUAGAGUCAAAUUAAUAGAAUAUAUAAAUAUUAAGCACUAAAUAUGUUAUUAUACUAAAUAAAAAAAGGCCACAUCAUUAUUUUCAUUGUCAAUUUAACGACAAGUAAUCAAAAAAAAAUGAAUCCAAAUAUUAAUACCUAAAUUGAAAAAUUUUAAAAUUAGAUGACCAAAACAAGAAAACAAACAUAAUCGAGCCACGAUUGAUAUAGUUUACCCUUAAAUUUUAGGCUUAUGGUUUUCCAACUCUUUAAACUAAUGCAAGAAAAAUAAAAUAAUUAAGAAAUUAAAUAGCGUAAAAUUAUCAUAAAUAAAUUGAAAUUGAUGCAAUUCUAGUGAACGUGGAGAUAUCAUUAGUCCUUGUUAGUUUUUUAAUCAUUAAAUUUUACAUCCACCCAAGAGUUUAGGCCAAUGUUCCAAAUAUUUCUGUCCAUCCUUUAAAUUGGUAAAACUUAACCUUUCGUUUGGGUAUUCUUCAAAUUAAGGAUUUAGUUUUGAAAAUUUAAAGAGGAAGAUGGAUAAAUGGGUCAAUAACUUGUUGACACCAUUUUUUUGAGAAAACGGGGUUGACUUGGAUUUUGAAAAUAAAACGAAAAUGAGUCGCCACCAAUCUUUUUUUUUUGAGGUGUGAUCGGGUCACCUCGAAAAGUGGUUGUUUUUAAUAAACGAAUUAAUUUUUAUUAAAACAACGAUUUUGGUCUACGAAAUUUAGAAAAAUGGGUUCGGGAGUCGGUUACGCACGAGGAAGGAUUAGCACCCUCGUAACACCCAAAAAUUGGUACGUAGUUGAUUAGUUAAUGUCUUAGUGUCGAAGAUUGAAAACUUUAAAGAGAUUUAGAGUAUGAUCCUUAAAACAACGCGAACGACAUGGAUUAAAAUUUAAGAGGAUAUUUGGCUAUUUAGUCGAACGAGAAAUCGAAACCCAGCACGUUAGGGCACAUUCUCUCGAAUUUCCAAACACAAAACAUUGCCUCAUUUUAAAAUUUCAAAAGGAUAUUCGACUAUUUGGCCAAACGAGUAAUCGAAACCCAACACGUUAGGGCACGUUUUCUCGAAUUUCCAAACGCGAAAUAUGGUCUUAUUUUGAAAGUUUAAAAUGGGUAUUUGGCUAUUUUGGUCAAACGAGAAAUCGAAACCCAGCACGUUAGGGCACGUUUUCUCGAUUUUCCAAACGUAAAAUAUUGCCUUAUUUAGAAAAAUUCCUUUUUUGAUGUAUGGUGUUAAUAUGCAUAACAAAACGAUAAUGAAUACGACAAGUUAAGCAUAAACAAUAUAAAUAAUCAACAAAAAUAAAAUAAAUAAAUAUAAGAGACGAAUCAAUCACAUAACAACAAGUAAAUAAACGAAUAGAAUUAAAAUAUCCUUUUGAAAUGAUAAUAAACACGUAAAUAAGCAAAUAAAUAAUAAUAACAAUAAAGAAGAUGAAUAAAAUUAAAAGAUGUGAAAAGACAUAUGUAUAUUUAUGUGGAUAAUUUUUAUAAAAUAAAAAAAAUGUGUAUAUAUGUAUAUCCUAAAAUAUAUGUCAAUAUUAUAUAAAAAUAUAUGUAUGUAUGUACAUAUUUUAAAACGAUAAAACAUAAAAAAAAAUAUAUUUAGGAAUUAUAAAAUAUACGUAUACGUUAUAAGAACGUAUAUAUGCAUAUAUAUAUUUUUAAAAAUUAUAAAGUACAAAAGACGUAUGUAUAUGCAUAUAUAUAUAUAUCUCAUCUUCAACUCCCAAAAGACGUAGCUUUACAUCUCUUCCUUCGAUAUCCUCAGUCCUUACCAAAGAAGACGCGGUCAUGAAAGAAGACCAAGACCCUCAAUUACCAAGUUUUGAUUUCAAAUCAUUCAUGGUAGACAAGGUUAAUGCAGUUAACCAAGCCCUGGACUCGGCUGUUCCACUCCGUGACCCUGUUAAAAUCCAUGAAGCAAUGCGUUACUCCCUUUUAGCCGGUGGCAAAAGGGUCCGCCCAGUUCUUUGUUUGGCUGCUUGUGACCUUGUUGGUGGCAAAGAAUCCAUGGUUAUGCCAGCAGCUUGUGCUCUUGAAAUGAUCCACACCAUGUCUUUAGUCCACGAUGAUCUUCCUUGCAUGGACAACGAUGAUCUUCGUAGAGGGAAACCAACUAACCACAAAGUUUAUGGUGAAGAUAUAGCUGUGUUAGCAGGGGAUGCUCUUUUAGCCUUUUCGUUUGAACAUAUAGCUGUAUCCACAGUUGGUGUCACAC